rnacentral:lncRNA from 1 species
AAAAAUGAAGAAUAAAGCCCACAAUAGCAUCAAGUGACGGUGAGCAUCACGGCAUUCUACCUCACAUGGGGUGGAAGCCGAUUUCCCAUUGAUGUAGAGUGACUCGUCCUGUUCUUCUCCACUGAUUCUUCUCAAUCGUCAAGAACAAGUGCUCCAAUGGUUCUCGACUCCAUCAUGUGUGUGCGUGGGGUGAGGCCGUGAGGCAGAAAUUGCCUUCGUCUUCACGCUCGGUGGUGAGCGAAUAUCAGUCCUGUGGCCGAACUCAAUCAGAAAUUUCGGUAUUCGAUAUUGGAUUCGCAUACCUCAUAAGCCUCAGUUCGCAGGCCUUUCAAAAUAUAAUAUUGAGCAUUUGAAUUCUUUCAAUUUGAGGAUUUCAUCUCUAUUUCUCUUAUUUUCCUUUUCCUUUUCCUUUUCAUUUCACAUGCCUGGGGAAUGUACGACUUUACCCUUGGCCUUAUCCUUUUGCGAACGCCACCGUCUGUCCGUCAGGACCGUCACGACAUACGCGCCCGCCGCUGGCGCCAACCUUGGCCAGUCGGCCUGGACUUCGACUUCCUCGAAUGCGUCGUCGCCGACGUCUCCCUCUCCCUUGGCGAUACCACCACCGCAACCCUCG